AGGAUGAACGCUGGCGGCGUGCCUAACACAUGCAAGUCGAACGUCCUGUCUCGCAAGAGGCAGGGAGUGGCGGACGGGUGAGUACCACGUGGGUCAUCUACCGUGAGGUGAGGAAUACCGGCGAGAAAUCGCCGACAAGACCGCAUAGGCUCGAUGCAAGUCGAGCAAAGCUCUUUCGAGAGAGGGAGCGCCACACGAGGAGCCUGCGCCCGAUUAGCUAGCUGGUGGAGUAACGGUUCACCAGGGCGACGAUCGGUAGCUGGUCUGAGAGGACGAUCAGCCACACUGGGAUUGAGAACGGCCCAGACUCCUACGGGGGGCAGCAGUGAGGAAUUUUCGUCAAUGGGGGCAACCCUGAACGAGCAACGCCGCGUGCAGGAAGAAGGUUUUCGGAUCGUAAACUGCUUUUCUCGGGGAAGAGAACGGACGGUACCCGAGGAAAUCGAGCCCCGGCUAACUACGUGCCAGCAGCCGC
rnacentral:rRNA from 1 species